rnacentral:rRNA from 1 species
ACGGAAGGCAGCAGUGGGGAAUAUUGCGCAAUGGGGGAAACCCUGACGCAGCAACGCCGCGUGAGUGAAGAAGUAUUUCGGUAUGUAAAGCUCUAUCAGCAGGGAAGAUAAUGACGGUACCUGCAGAAGAAGUCCCGGCUAACUACGUGCCAGCAGCCGCGGUAAUACGUAGGGGACAAGCGUUAUCCGGAUUUACUGGGUGUAAAGGGUGCGUAGGCGGUUUUUCAAGUCAGAAGUGAAAGCCCGGAGCUCAACUCCGGGACUGCUUUUGAAACUGAGAGACUUGAGUACUGGAGGGGCAAGCGGAAUUCCUGGUGUAGCGGUGAAAUGCGUAGAUAUCAGGAAGAACACCGGUGGCGAAGGCGGCUUGCUGGACAGAAACUGACGCUGAGGCACGAAGGCGUGGGGAGCAAACAGGAUUAGAUACCCUGGUA